rnacentral:rRNA from 1 species
UACGAAGGGGGGCUAGCGUUUGCUCGGAAAUUACUGGGCGUAAAAGGGCGCGUAGGCGGCACUGUUAGUCAGGCGUGAAAUUCCUGGGCUCAACCUGGGGACUGCGCUUGAUACGGCAGAGCUAGAGGAUGGAAGAGGCUCGCGGAAUUCCCAGUGUAGAGGUGAAAAUUCGUAGAUAUUGGGAAGAACACCGGUGGCGAA